GACGAACGCUGGCGGCGGGCUUAACACAUGCAAGUCGAACGGAAAGGCCCUGCUUGCGUGGGGUGCUCGAGUGGCGAACGGGUGAGUAACACGUGAGUAACCUGCCCUUGACUUUGGGAUAACUUCAGGAAACUGGGGCUAAUACCGUAUAGGAGCUCCUGCUGCAUGGUGGGGGUUGGAAAGUUUCGGCGGUUGGGGAUGGACUCGCGGCUUAUCAGCUUGUUGGUGGGGUAGUGGCUUACCAAGGGUUUGACGGGUAGCCGGCCUGAGAGGGUGACCGGCGAAAUUGGGACUGAGAUACGGCACAGAGUCGUAAGGGAGGCAGCAGUGGGGAAUAUUGCACAAUGGGCGGAAGCCUGAUGCAGCAACGCGGCGUGCGGGAUGGCGGCCUUCGGGUAGAAAACCGCUUUCGCCUGUGACGAAGCGUGAGUGACGGUAAUGGAUGAAGAAGCACCGGCUAACUACGUG
rnacentral:rRNA from 1 species